UUUUAACUCUUUCUCCCCUGCAGUCUAGUCCCUUACAAGUAGUUUUUGAAUACAACUUUCAUGCAGAUGAAACCUUUCCUCCUCACCACCCAGACAUUUUCUUUUAUAAUUCUUUCUAUUUCUUUUGGGGGGUGGUUAAUGUAAUUUUUGAUACCUUCCAAUUAUCUCCAAAGUUUCUUGAAAACAGCUUUCAAAAAUAGACAUCUAAUGCUCAUGGCUGUAACUUACUUAGGGUUGGCGUGGGUCUUGUGGGGAAAGGGCCAUGGUGAGCCAGAGAAAAAAACAGUUCUGCUUCACAGGAGAAUUCUGGCAAAGUAACAAACUGCACUGAGAUCCGAACUGAACAGUUACAUACAGUCGUGAAAAUGUGGAUUAUCAUAAUAAUUGAUUUUGUUAUUAUAUACAACUGAAUUGCCUGAAUAAUUGCCUGAAAUGCAGUCGUAAAUAGAUCUUUGAAUGAACACAUUGUUAGUGUCACGAAAAUGUGAAAAGGAACAUUCUGGAAGGAGAAGCCAACCCUUCCUCCUCCUCCAACAAACAACAACAACAACAUACCGCUUCUCAACAAAAGUUUCCAGACCCUUCCUACACAGGGAAAGUCCCAAGUAGACCCAGGCAUUGACCAGAAUGGGACCUGCUUAGCUUCAGCCAUUGUGACCAAGACAAUGCAGAAGGAGACCUGCCAUAUGUGAAAAGCUUAAGGAACAGUUCUCAGGAUUGAAAAAGAUGACAUAAAUCUUGCAGCUGACAGAGAUCCCACUGAGCUUGGUUGGGGAAACUCACAGAGGACUUGUUGUGGGCCAGGAAAGCUGCUGGGUAUAAAGACAGAUGUGUACACUCCUAUUGAAAAUGCUGAAAUGAAGAAAAGCCUCCUGAAGCAGACCGGGGCACUGACAAACACUACAAGAGGAGCAGCUCAAUCCUGCAGGGUAUAGACUACACCCUGUGAGGUUGUGAUCUCUCUCAGUUCCCACUACCCAGCACAGUUAAUUUGUAUGAAGAGUGCUGAGCAUUUCACAAGAGGAGGUCUCUGCUUUCCUCUCUCUACUAAGGAAUAAAAGGGUCUCCUCCUGCAAGAUCGUCACACACCGAUACCAGUGGGAGAGCUGAGUCCUCUGCACUUCUCCGGAAGUGUUCAUCAUCCUCCAGAAUACCAUCCAGCUUCCUUUUCCUCAACAAAGCAGGUCCAGAGUGUAGGAUGAAGAGAGACUGGGACACACGCAGUGGGGCAGUUUGGUCCACAAAGUAGGCCAGUGCCCUGCGAACAUCUAAAGAGUGGAGUCGGCACUAUCAUCCAAAGGAUCAGGGUGAAAGUUUUGUGGUCUGAGCAUUCAAAUCAGGUACCGACACUGAUGGUAUAAAGGAAUCCCCCAGGUUCGAGGUUGAAGCCUGAGCUACAGAAUUGACCGUAGAACUCACGCUGGUUUCAGAAAAACAAGCAUUUUACUCCCAGGAUUUCCCCUUACAAAGAGCAGCAACAGCAGCAGAACAGGGCUUCAAGACAAGAGACUAAGAGGGAGCAAUUUCCCCUCUUGCCCCAGAAAAGGUUUGGCUGGUAUGAACAUGCCUUAAGAGCAGCCGAGGUGCAAAUCUUGACUCUGUUUUAUGUGACACCCACCACUUCUAACAGAAAUAUUACAUGCUACAUAAAAGGCGUCAUUAAAAGGUCCGAAAAUGUA